UCGCCGCCGACGACGUCGCGAGAAGUCCACUGAACCUUAUCAUUUAGAGGAAGGAGAAGUCGUAACAAGGUUUCCGUAGGUGAACCUGCGGAAGGAUCAUUGUCGAUGCCUGCAAAGCAGAACGACCCGCGAACCGUUCCUCAACACUCGGGACGCCGGAUGGCAUCCGGCUGCCCGGCAUCCCGACGCUUCGGACGCGGGGGGUGCGAGCCACUCCCGGCGGACGGAGCAUCAAACACACCCCGGCGUGCAAAGCGCCAAGGUACUCCAACGGUAGGGCAAGUACCCGUCCGCCUGGGUUUCCAGCGCGGUCGGGUGUCUGUUCGGUGCAGUAAAUCUAAACGACUNNNGUGUGAAUUGCAGAAUCCCGUGAACCAUCGAGUCUUUGAACGCAAGUUGCGCCCGAAGCCUUGGCUGAGGGCACGCCUGCCUGGGUGUCACACGUCGCGUCGCCUCCGAAACCUUUCCCCUCGUAACACCGUGGCGAUGGUUCCGGAUGCGGAAGAUGGCCUCCCGUGACCACGAGCCACGGACGGCCCAAGUUUUUGCUGGGGAAGCGAAGCGCCACGGCUUUCGGUGGUCGGCACAGCCCCUGAGGCGAUGAACGAACGAAGCCCGUGGCUGCCGCUACGGUCCCCGGUCCACGACCCCAAUCACUAACCAACGCGACCUCAGGUCAGGCGGGGCUACCCGCUGAGUUUAAGCAUAUCAAUAAGCGGAGG
rnacentral:rRNA from 1 species